rnacentral:lncRNA from 1 species
AUGAACCAGUGACUACAAAAUCAGAAAAGUCGAGUCAUUUUCUUUGUGGGUAUUUGUUAUUGCUUGAUUUACUCCUAAUCACCAAAAUAACUACUAGAAAAAUUCCCACCAGCCCUAAAUUUAGAGUAAUUUUUCUCACUAACAAAGUAAGAUUUUAAAAUGCCUAUCAACCCAACAGACUUUUAAGAUCUAUUCCUACUAACAAACUUUUUGAUGAAGGAUAAAGUGUAGAGACAAAGAGAUUGCAAGAGAAUCAUCAUCUUAUUCAUUGAUAGGAGCC